rnacentral:lncRNA from 1 species
AAAUGUUUCAUUGCUUCAUUACCUUUGAAAUCUCCAAAACUUUUAAUGUGGCGCUCUUUGCUGGCAACUAUCGCUUGACAAGCGUCAAAAUGGCGUCCCGCACGCCUGUGGGGAAAAUUUCUUGCGAGUUUACUUCCAGAGCACCGUGUUGGUUCCUCGUUUGCAACGCACACCACCGGCAGAAAACGGCAAGCGUAUGCUUUUCCCGAGACCACACCUUCCGCUACAUGGCAGAUCUCGCGAGUUAAGCGCGCUUUGCAUAAUUUAAAUGAACCCCAGGCUGUGUUUACACAAAACGAUCUAUCUUAUCUGGUACGGGCAUAGCCUAGCUGUUGAGUAUAAAAAACGGGCGCCAGGCGAGAAAAGCGCUGGUCAUAAUCUCCGCGCGUAGAUGGUUUCAUAACUCCUGUCCUCGCACGGUCGAGGCGACCCGAUAGUCAAGUUGCUCAAUGACCCGUAUAUCGAUUAAAAAAGCGAGUCGCUUUUCCCUCUCUGCUAUGCAAACGCAGCCAAGCUGUGGCGGCUCUCUCGCUCCUCGUUGGCCGCUGAUGAAAUUUGAGCUGGGCGGUUUCGAGACGCGCAAGAGCCAGCUUGCUUCGGUUGCGUCCUGCGUGCCCAAUCGUCCAUUGAGAAGAGUGUGUGUGCUAUGCAUGGAGUCAAGUACCGACGACGGCUGUAGCAAUGUUUUAAGAAAGCUGUCACCACAUCAUACGGUUAUUGUUGUAGUCUGACAUACUGUUACCACGCCUGCCAACUGUCCUGAAUUUUCUGGAGAAUUUGCUCAUUUUGGCUCAUUCUACAAUUUGAUUAAUGUUGUGUCAGCUCUUGCGAAAGUGAAUUCUUUACACAGAAAAGCUUUACAGGUGUUAAAUGAUGUGACAGUGCAAGAUUGCAAAAGGUGCAUGUAAAAAGGAAAUCGUUACAAUUUCUGCAACCAUGCAAGAUGCCACUACCACUAGCAUAGCCUUCUAUAUACUUUUCAGUGCCUAUGCAAUGACUCCGGAGGGUCCAUCCAACCUUUUUAUAAAGCUCCUCCUAUCCAAUUGUCAAUGUGCUGCUUGUCAAUCUCGGCUGUUACAAGUUUGUUGAAUCUAAACAUAGUCAUGGUUAAUAAAGUGCAAAUGUAAGCAUGAAAA